GUCGUGCGAGAAAGUAUCUUCGGAUAUGAGUAGAGCGGCGGACGGGUGAGUAACGCGUAGGAAUCUACCUAGUAGAAGGGGAUAGCCCGGGGAAACCCGGAUUAAUACCGUAUACCUCCUUCGGGAGAAAGAAGGCCUCUCUUUGAAGCUUUCGCUACUAGAUGAGCCUGCGUAAGAUUAGCUUGUUGGUGAGGUAAAGGCUCACCAAGGCGACGAUCUUUAGCUGGUCUGAGAGGACGAUCAGCCACAUUGGGACUGAGACACGGCCCAGACUCCUACGGGAGGCAGCAGUGGGGAAUAUUGGACAAUGGGCGCAAGCCUGAUCCAGCCAUACCGCGUGUGUGAAGAAGGCCUUCGGGUUGUAAAGCACUUUAAGCAGGGAGAAAAAGUUAUAAGUUAAUACCUUAUAACCCUGAUGUUACCUGCAGAAUAAGCACCGGCUAAUUCCGUGCCAGCAGCCGCGGUAAUACGGAAGGUGCAAGCGUUAAUCGGAAUUACUGGGCGUAAAGCGCGCGUAGGUGGUUUGUUAAGUUGGAUGUGAAAGCCCUGGGCUCAACCUAGGAACUGCAUCCAAAACUAACUCACUAGAGUACGAUAGAGGGAGGUAGAAUUCAUAGUGUAGCGGGUGGAAUGCGUAGAUAUUAUGAAGA
rnacentral:rRNA from 1 species